rnacentral:misc_RNA from 1 species
GCAAUAAUUUUUUUUUCUUUUUUUGGUUGAUUUGGCUUUGAUUGGGGUUCAAACUAGAGAUCUUACAACACUGGAGCUGGAGACAAUUCCAGUACAAAUAAGCUAAAGCUCAUUGUUUAGCAGUAAAUGUAUAAGGGCGUUGUAUCUAUGUCUCAAUGGAUUGAAAUCCUAAUGCUUUGUUGUUUAGUGCCUUUUUUGAAAAAAAUUUUCCUGAUUUUGUAUGCUUCUCUAAAACAAUUAAUUCAAAACUUCAUUACAUUUGCUUUUUUAUAUAAUAACAAUGCAAUUUUUCUAGCCAAAUUAUUUAUUUGCUAGCAUAGACAGUCGUACCACUUUAGGGAGCUUGUAUUAUUUGGUUAUCAAUAAAGCAAAAUAAGCUUAU